AUUUUCUAGAGACCUUAAAGGAAUGUAUCCUGAAGAAGGAGGUGGUGAGGAGGAACAGGGAGAAGAAAUCGGAUAUGUUAUGUGAGAAAAAGCUAUCUUCAAUAAAAGGAAAAGUGAUUACUGUACAAUAGUAAAAGCCUAAAAAACUAGAUCGCCUGUUGGUGGGGAAAUGGAAGUGAUAGGAGGACAAACAGAAAUGAGAGUAAAAGGGCAAGGAUGAAGAAAACAUCCCGUGAAAGCACAAAUGCACAACAGGAAGACGGAGUUAUGAAUGAAAAUCCCUGGUAGAAGACCAUUUGGAUGAAUCAGACAAAAUAAAGAACAAGGUAGGAAUAUUUUGUCCUGAAGA
rnacentral:lncRNA from 1 species